UCCGGUUUGUCACCGGCAGUCUCCUUAGAGUUCCCGCCAUUACUCGCUGGCAACUGAAGGCAAGGGUUUCGCUCGUUAUGGGACUUAACCCAACAUCUCACGACACGAGCUGACGACAGCCAUGCAGCACCUGUCUCACGGUUCCCGAAGGCACAUCCGCAUCUCUGCAGACUUCCGUGGAUGUCAAGACCAGGUAAGGUUCUUCGCGUUGCAUCGAAUUAAACCACAUACUCCACCGCUUGUGCGGGCCCCCGUCAAUUCCUUUGAGUUUCAGCCUUGCGGCCGUACUCCCCAGGCGGGGCACUUAGAGCGUUAGCUACGGCACCGGGAGGGUCGCUCCCCCCGACGCCUAGUGCCCAUCGUUUACGGCGUGGACUAC
rnacentral:misc_RNA from 1 species